CCUUUUUAUAGUUCUCCAUUUUGAUCCAAUCCCAGUAUGUUGUUUCCUGGAUUGAACAAAGUAGCAAUUCUCCUCUAACUCCUUCCAAACACAACAUCUCCCAUUCAGUGAUCUUUUCCAUCAAUGAGUAGAAUUCUUCUUCUUCUUCUUCUAGAAAAAUGGUGAGUGAGAUAUAGGAGGUAAAAUUCCUGCCAAAGGUGAUUUUUGAUGCAGGUCACCUCUAUGGUCAAACUCCAUUACUUAUGUCCUGCUUUCAAAAUGAAAUUCAGAGGUGAAAAAUGGGCCAUGUAUGCACAACCCUGCGUAUUUACUUAACACCGAAAUCACUGAUUGGAGAGCGCUGGGGAAAUGUUUCACUGUGAUUAAAAUUUAGCUAGUGCUGUGCAUCAAAACAAAAGAUGCUCCCCCACCUCUGUAUCCUCUCAAGUAUUUCCUAGGUCAGCUUCAAUUAAUUCCUUAGAAAACGAAAACAGGGGUGGUGAGAGGCAGUGUGUUCAUGAUGGCAUUGGUGUGGCUGUGUGUGAUCCCGCUUUCAAUACUGUUUGUGCCGCCAAAAGGUGCAGGGUGGACAUACCCAAUCAGUGCAUGUCCCAUAUCUUCCUGCUGAAAUCUUGUAACUUUUGAUACCACAAACACUCCCCCCUCUCUGUGUGUCCUGUUCUGUCGAGCUAUAGCACAAGAGUACCCCUCCGGAUGACAACAAUGUGUUUACUCUGGAGAAGCAUUGCUAACAUCAAAUAAAGUGGAAUGGCGUGUGGACAAAGGCAUGCUGAAGAAAACACCUGCCUUAAUACCCAGCAGGGUGGAGGGGUCAAAGUUUUUCGACUGCUAGAACACUAGAGGAACCCAGUCUGCCUCUGAGAAAAGGGACUAAAGAGGCGCUGCCAUAUGCUUCUUUUUUAUUUUAUCUUUUUACUAGUAAUUGUUUAUAAAUGGUUUCCUGAAAAUAACUUUCCCUGGCAUUACUCUACCUGAGUUUUCUGUUUCUUCAGCUUUGAUGGAUAUGCUUCAGUUCCGAGCAGUCUAACAGCCCUGACCAGUGCUCCAAUGGGCUGUCAAUACAAAUGGCAGCACACUACCUAGCAUUGGCCACUAAUUCAGAGUGGAAUGACACAUUGUACUUGGCAUGGGUCCACAGCAGAAAAUGACACACCACCCUGUGCUACAGAAGGUAACGUUCCCCAUAAUGGAAAAGGUCACCUACCCCAUGCUAUAACAUGGUCACCAUGUGAUAUUCCUCACUUAAGUCAUUCACUAGCAAGGAUGGGGAAAUCUCAAGCAAAAGGGGUGCUACAAAAUAUGGCAGAAAAGACAAGCUUGACUCUGGGAUGCCAGUCUGAGUGGCAGCUGUGUGUCAAGUGUCAUGGGUAGUUCCACCCUAACAUGGUGUACAAUCCACCAAGGCUGUGUGCACACUAUAUCUUUGAAUACUCUUUUGAAACAUAUUCUUUCCCUUGAAGGGUUCUGGGUGCUGCAGUUUACACUUCACAGAGUUGCAAUUGCCAGCAGCCCCCAAGAAACUACAGUGCCCAGAUAUGUACUUCCAAUGUGCUUUAAAGUAUUAGUGAAUACGCAGCCAAAGAAAUAGGUUCCCAGUGUAUUGUGCCCCAACAUCCUAUUGUGAUGCUGUGAAAGGCACCUAAAAAACACCAGCUGCCUUGCUUAUGAUGCAGCUCCCCCUGGCUUGCAGGCCAAUUAAGUUUACCUAAAGGCACAGCCUGCUGUGCAGAGUGGAUGUCCUCCAUCAACGGUUUUGUGUAAUGUGACUUAUAAACCUGAAUCCAGCAACAUUGAAACCUUUCAUUUUGUUAAUGUUAAAAGAGUCUAGAUAGAAGUGGAUGAAUUAGGCAGAACUUGCAUCUGUGUUUGGAAGUGGGGGUGAAAGGGAGAAAUGGGACGCACAAAACAUUCUGAUAUUCAGAGGCAGGUCAAUAGGAUGCUUCCCUAGCUAUUGUCCUAUCUGCAGAUUCACAAUAUCACCCUGAUGAAGAGUAGCACAAAUGCUUGUAUCCAGAAUUUUAGUGAAAUAAAAGGUGGUAAAGUUUGGUUAAGGCUUAUGAGCUAAAUACACAUGACUGAGGGAGCCAGUUCCUAAACUACAUCACUCUUUAGAAACAAUGAUAAAAUCAAUAGCACUUGUAAAACAAAUAUAGAUAUUAGAUAACUCCAUCAUGCGUCUGGACUGGCUUGCUGAAAUGGAAGGUUUUGUCAGACAAGUUCAGCCAAUGGCCAUUAGCUAUGAUUGCUAAAUGGAAGCUUUAAGUGAGGGGUGGGAAACCUUUGGCCCUUUAGAUGUUCCCAUUCCAGCUCCCACCAGCCCCACCCAGCAUGGCCCAAUAGUCAGAGAUGGUAGGAAUCGUAGCCCAACUCCACCCCAGAGGCAGGAUACCUCUGAAUACCAGCUGGGAGCAAAUGGCAAGCAAAUGGCAAGGCUGUUUCUGCUUACAAACUUCUCAGGAGUAAGAGGCUGGCUUCUGUGAGGAGCAGGAUGCUGAGCUAAAUGAACCUUUGCAUUCUUUAUGCUAGAUAUGUCUGGAGUGCAAUCCCACUGCUGUUGCGGCUGCAACAACAGCACAUACCACCACCAUUUCCUCAGAGCUGUGCACUGGCAUUUUUUCAUCAUCUUUUUUUACACAGACAUCCUUCCCUGCACACAUUAUCUCCUGGCGUUUUGAAACAGGAUGACUCUUCAUUUUCCAUUCCUUAUUAAUUUUCCAGACCUGUGCAUGGGUGACAGAAAUUGAUUGCAUUUGGAGGUGGGGGGAGGAUGAGAGAGCCUUUUAUGGAGCUGCUGGGGCAUAAGAGGGUGGGAGGAGGCCUGGAAACAGCCUGCAGAGCCAGAGGUAGGAAGAGGGCACAGCAAAUUAACCAGAGAAACCCCACAAUUGAAGCCAAAGGGUGACACUCUUCUUCUCUCCCUCUUGAUCUUAAUUUCCUCCCCUUUACAUAUUGUAACACCAAUAAUAACAAAAAGAAAGUAGCAUCUAAAGAAAGCACAGAAGUGGUAUCUUUAAGUUUAAAUAAUAGCUAUUAAUGACAAAUCUAUACUUAAAUGUAUGAUUGUUAAUUGGCCUAUUAAUGUAAGAUAAUCAUUCCUUUUAGAACUAUAUUAUCCAUUAUAUAUAUGAAUGAUCUAUAAUCAAUAUAUAGCGAGCAACCAGCAAAGUAUGUGCUUCUGGGGCCAUUCCAAUGGCAGUGCAAAGUGCUUUACAGCUUGUCUUACAUUUAACUUUAUGAAAAAGAUGCAGGGAUGUGUUCUUUAGAGAUGGGGAACCUUCAGCUAUUGCAGGACUCCAGCUCCCUUCAGCCCCAGUGGGAGUUCAGAGUCUAACAACACCUGGAGGCCAGAGGCUCGCCAUCACUAUUCUAAACACAACUUGGCAGGUUGGUGGCAGAGUCAGGACUUGAGUUCUGGGCUCCUGUUCCAGAGUAGGAAAAUUGGACCUUUAAAAUGGGAUAUAAAAAGGGAAUGGUGUGGGGAAAGAGUAACAGUCAAUGGGCCAAAAGGGCACAUUUCCUAGGAAUGUUUACUCUGAAGCAACUCUCACUGCAUUCAGUGGAACCCAUGCCAAGUAAGGAAACAGGAUUGCAGCCCAAGUAUUGUACUGAUAGCCAGUGGUUUGGAAAUCAGGGGAUUUGGAGAAGGAGAUGUUUGUGUGUGGCUACUGCCAGAGCAGUGAGAAGGGGGGAGUGAUGCAAGCAUGAAAUGCAUGUGACCCAGGCAUCACUGUGGUGUCAUGGGCCCUCAUUAAUCAUUUCCUCCUUAAUGAGCCUUUCUGAGCUCCACCUCCCUUAAGUACCAGGAAGGGAGUUUAAAUUGAGCUGAAGAAUGGGUUGUAAAUCAUGUUCCGUUUACUAUUGAAAUAUGUGGAGUGGUUGCUGAAUCAUAUUGAUGCUCUGUCAAUGUAUCAUAUUAAUGGUAGCCUGUUGGGCCCAGUCUCACAACAAAGUAUGGUGGUGCAAGUGCAAGGCAGCAGGAUGCUAAUUAAUUUCCAAAUAUUGUGAACAUAUCCGGAAAAUAUAAAGGAGACAUAGAAUCAUAUAACUGUAGAGUGGAGGGGUGCCUGAGGGUCAUCUAGUCCAACCCCCAGCAAUGCAGGGAUCUCCACUAAAGCACCCAUGAUAGAUGGCCCUCUGAUUAAAAACCUCCAAGGAAGGGAAGGAGAAUCCACCUUGUUCCAAGGGAGUCCAUAUUCCACCAUCAAAAGGCUCUCCCGAUCAGAAAGUUCUUCUUGAUAUUUAGUCAGAAUCUCUUUUCUUGUAGCUUGAAGCCAAUGGUUCAGGUCCUGUUUUUUAAGCAAGGUAGUAUUAAGGAAGGUAGGAGAAGAUAUAUUGUUUUGAUAUUAUCCCUCCUCACUCACACUAGAGAGUAAACAUUCCCUUUGCAACUUAUUGGAAGCAAGUUGAUGAUUCAUUAGAAUCCUUUGAUUAAGCAGUCCAGUUUUGCUUCUCCAGUCUGGAUUAUUCCUGUUAAGUUUCCCCUUUAUUGCCCUCUUAAAAUAAUAAUAACACAACAGUUUUCUUUAAAAGUAAGAAUAACGUUUUACUCACAUUCAGUUCACAGCAGUAAUCUGAAGGCAGGCUUUAUCUUAUGGUUACAGUAAUCUUAUGGUUACAGUGUGAGCUACAUCUCAGACUUUCUGCUUGCAGGCUCCAUCCUAAGAGCCAGGAGAGCGAGAGUCCAAGAGUAAGAGUAAGAGUAAGAAUCCAAGAGAAAGAUGGUUAUCUGGUCAGCUAGGGUUACACCCAUUUACCUGGUCACACACAGAGGGAGGAAGCUUCAGAGCACGUAUGACAGGAAGUCCUCCCUGUCUGGAGCCACAUUGCCCUGUGUGUCAAUUCUAGGCAACAGGAAAAUGUUGUACUUGACUGCUCUAGUAAUAAUACAUCCCACAGGUCCUACCCUCCAGAGCAGGAGAAAAUAAGCCUGCUUCAUCUUUCAUGGGACAGCCCUUUAGAUACUUGAAGACAGCCAUCAUAUCUCCUCUCAGACUCCUCUUUUCCAGACUAAACAUGCCCAACUCCCUCAACUGUUCACCAUAAGACUUGAUUUCCAGACCCUUGAUCAUCUUGGUCGCCCUUCUCUACACAUGUUCUAACUUGUCAAUAUCCUUCUUAAAUUGUGGCACCCAGAAUGGACACAGGCAUUCACACCUGUCAGGGGUUCAGGGACAGAGGCACAGGGUAGGCAGGAGAUGGAGAGCGAUGGGGAUGAAUCCCAGGACAGCGAGGAAGAGGAUGACAAUGACUCAAGAGAUUCCAUGAGUCUUUCCAGCGAAUCAGAGGAUUCCCAGAAGGGGCGCCGGUGGUCAAGCCCAGGGGAGCCCCAAGGGGGACGUGUCAGGAGCAGGGGGCCAGCGGGACAUCCCAAAGUGGCAGCUGGGUGUCAGGACCAGCCUCCCCGCCAGAGUGCAGCGAAGGGGGUGGAGGUUUCAGUGUAUCAGGGGAAGCGGCUCCGGCAGCAGAGAAGGGAGGGAGGUCGGAGCAAGUCACCCUCCCGGAAGGGGAGGGGAGUAGUGAAGGGAGUAGUGUAGCUGUUAAAAGGAAGGUUAGAGGUUGGGCGCGCGCGCCAAGUUCAAAUGUAGAGGCGCGCGGAAGUACAGGGAGCCCGGAGGAGGGGCCAGGUCCCAAAGCCCGCAGGAGGGGGCAAGAGCAGUCUGGGGAUUCCGCGUCAGAGGAAUCCAGGAGGGGCGAAAGCCCAGUGGGCAGAAAGACCCUGCGGAAAAGGAAAGAAAGAAAGAGGUGGAGCAGCGCAAGCCUCUUAAACUGGUGCAGGGGAGGGACGGAUUCAGAGGAGACUUCAGCGGUCUAAGCGUAGCAGACGUAGGGCUGCGCGCCUCGGAUGUGAAGCAAUCAAUGAACUGCAAUAAACACUUUUGUAUAUAAGAAGAGAUAGGCGUUGGUCUUUUGUGAGCUGAGACUUGAGGCAGCCCUGACAACACCCAUCCUCCAAAUAUUCUUCAGCAUCCUACUUUCCAUCUUACCUUUCCUAUUCCCUCUGGGAAUACUCUAUUAAGGGGAUUGAAAAAGAAGUCCAUACUAAGAUCAUAUUGGCCGGUGACAUGAUGGUUGAGGGCACCUUGUAACAGUCCUGGUCCUAUAUUGCCAGGUGAACCUACUGUGAGUUGACCCAUUCCAUACCUGAUGUCUGGUACUGCAUUUAGAGUUAGGGUGGGAUUCCACUGCAGGGGGGUCCACCUCAAGGCUCAGAGGUUCAUGUUUUGAUAUAUUCAAGAUUAAAAUAGCAAAAAAUCAUAUGAAUACUCAGAUUAUGCAAGGAAUAGUUGAAAUCCUGUGUGUUUGUGACUGCUUCUGCUGCCCUCCAGUAUUGCCACUCCUCAAUAGGAGUUUGUGGUUACUGCAUGGUGCAGGUAAUGGGGGAGGGAGGAGAUGGUUUAGAUUUAGCAUUUCUGGAGGUGGCCUUAAGGGCUUAUAGGCAAGAUGCAGGAUGGGAAAGAAGGAUGAUCAGGAGGUAAGGCUAAGGUAGCAUGCAACCUUUCCUUGCAGAGCUUCUAUGCUUAACAAUUGUGUGACAGGUAGAAAAUCAACAGGUAAAGCUUUAUAGCCAUAGUGAUGCACUGAUAUGGGCAUCAUCUGUUGAAGGCACACCUGUGCUACCCCUGGUUUUAGAAGGCUGGAGACUUGAGAGGAAAGGUUUAAAGUUUGGGGAUGGACAGUGAGGGUUACCAACCUCUUUGCACCAACCUCUGGCUCUGAUUUUAUUUGAGGUACAGACCCCAACAGGCCACCUUUCUUAUCUCCAUGCCCUGAAAAGCUUCCCCUCCUGAUUCCUGUAUGUAACAGUCUGCUGUUAAAGGCAGGAAAUGAGCCAGAGUGCUUGUUUUCUGAUCAGCUGGCAGCCCUGCUAGUGGUGGUUGGGGGCUGGGAGGGGAGGUUGGCUGGCUGGCUAUGCCAGGCUUAUGUUUCCAGUCACCUGUGGGUGAAAAUUGCUCUUUCGCAGUCAUCUCUCAGUUUUCCUCCCCCGCAGGUGGCCUCCCCAAGGAGGGAGUUUAAUUUUCUGGCAAGGAACUUGCGUAGGCUGGAGCAAGCAGGGGAGGAGGAGGGAGACCAUCAGCCGGUUAUUUAUUUGAAAGGGGAGAUUCUUCGCCUCUGCUGUGGUGGCUCUGUCUGUAGCUCGCUCUGUUUUUG